rnacentral:rRNA from 1 species
AUGAACGCUGGCGGCGUGCUUAACCCCUGCAAGUCGAACGGAAAGGCCCAAGCUUGCUUGGGUACUCGAGUGGCGAACGGGUGAGUAACACGUGGGUGAUCUGCCCUGCACUUCGGGAUAAGCCUGGGAAACUGGGUCUAAUACCGGAUAGGACCACUUCUUGGAUGUUGUGGUGGAAAGUUUUUUCGGUGUGGGAUGAGCUCGCGGCCUAUCAGCUUGUUGGUGGGGUAAUGGCCUACCAAGGCGUCGACGGGUAGCCGGCCUGAGAGGGUGUACGGCCACAUUGGGACUGAGAUACGGCCCAGACUCCUACGGGAGGCAGCAGUGGGGAAUAUUGCACAAUGGGCGCAAGCCUGAUGCAGCGACGCCGCGUGGGGGAUGACGGCCUUCGGGUUGUAAACUCCUUUCGCUAGGGACGAAGCGUUUUGUGGCGGUACCUGGAGAAGAAGCACCGGCUAACUACGUG